GUGGUAGUUUGGGCAGCAUAUAUGCUAAAAUUGGAAUGAUUCAGAGAGGAUUAGCAAGGCUGCUGUGCAAAAUUGACAUGCAAAUUUGUGAAAAAUUCCAUAAUUUC